GUAAAUUUCAAAUCUACAGAGAUGGGAUCUUCAACGGUUGAGAUUCGGGAGCGGCAAUAGGAAUGAUUCACAACUGUGCAUACUACAUAUUCACCCUGGAGUACCAGGAAGAGACAGCCGGUAACUUGGACAUUCAAAGAUGCUUUGUUGGUAAUAAAUCCAGAGGAACAAAAAAGUUGAAAGGUUUGAAAACAAAAGGGCAAAUGGUGCAGAAGAAACAGCUUGAAGUGAACCCACAUGUUGCCACUCUUCUUUGCAAAGUGAAGGGUUUUCAGUGGAAUU